AGAGAGUGAGGGUGGGGUGGGGUGGGGUAGCUUUCCUGGCUAUAUCCUGCACCGCAUACUGGCGCUGCAUCGCGCUCCCCGGAGUUAGGAGCGCUGUUAUGAUGACUCAGAACAACAAUUAAAAUUAAAACCUUAAUACCUGAUGAAACUAACAAAGAUACACAAAAAAAUACUGGUUUUACUGAUGGGUUUUUGGUUUAAUGGGCUCGGCCAGGCUGCCAGGUGUUGUCAGGUCAGGUAUUUAUGUAAUAGAUCUGCCGCAACAAUAAAUGUACAGUACUCAAAAAACACCACCAUCAUAACGAAUGAGACGGGGUCUGGAGUUAACAAGUAAGGUGUGGACGUGAGCUCUCACCCAGAUAUCCCUCAUCUUGCGGCUCUAAAAAUGACAGUUCGGCGGCUUCACCUCAAUGAAUCGGGGUUGGACCGUGUCGACUCCACCAAUUCUACCUCCAUGCCUCGGACCCACAGAGGCAGCAUGACGUCACCUCUUUGCCACGCCUCCCCUGCGCGUGAACAGACUUGCUCUGUCUGUUCCUUGCCGUCAUGUCAAGAAUACGAUUGGUAGUGACGAGAUAUUAUACUGUCAGCUUUUUAUUGUAACGGUCUAGCACUUGUUACCACCACCUCCAUUAAUUUGUUCGUAUCAACAAUUGCGGAAUUUUGUGCAUGUGAUUAUCUUAAUAACUAUCAAUCAUCAGUAUCGUAGCGUUAUCAGAUUAUGGUGAUAAUCUUAUGUUCAGUACACAAACAACGCAAACACUUCACGUGUGCCAUCUCUUGGAUUGGUGCACACACACACACACAUUUCAUGAAGGCUGUAUCUGUAGCAGGACGGAGAAGCACUGAGCAGCACCCCCUAGCUGUUGUGCCUACCUCCCCCUGAACGAGUGAACAUCGGAGCCAUGCCGACGACCGUAGCAUCGCGCUGGCCCUGCUGGCGGGCCAGUGGUAUGCAGGAGUACUAACCAUUUGUACAUUCAGGAGAUUAUGUAUAACUAUGAGCCUAUAGAAAACUUACACCAUGCUUAAAAUCUUUCUAAACAAAGUGCAAUAACAGUAGAACCUGUAUUUACUACAUCAUUACCAUUUAACAAACAUCAACUUAUCGAUAUGAAAAUAAUGUUAUCCAUCAUCUGCACAGGAAUUGCAAUCUUGUUGCAGGUUUUCGUCAGCGGUGAGAACGCAAAUUGCCCAUCCGACUGGACACUCCUCCGUGACGUGUGUGUGUGGAUCAGCGACGAGGAAUUACCAUACCGGGAAGCCUAUAUAGAAUGCAGGGACAAAGGAAGUCAUCUCGCCUACAUAGAAAGUGCCCAAGAAGACUGCCUGCUGGCAGGUGCAGUUAAGAGUCGAAAUGAAGCUUGAACUUAAUAGGACAAAAUGCCACACUUACGUGACCGAUAUUUUAAGACAAAGGGCUCCAUGAUUGGCAGGUGCUCUGUCUGUGAAGCGGAAGAAGUCGGUGUGGAUAGGCCUCAACGACCUGGAUAUUGCUAAGUUUUUCGUGUGGGUCGACAACAAGCCAUUCACGUACUCCAAUUUCCACGCGGGGGAGCCGGCCGUCACCGGGGCACACGCCGAGGAGAACUGUGUGGCAAUGACUAGCGCCAUGAACUACCAGUGGAGCUCCGAGUACUGCUUCGACCACCGGGCAUUCGUGUGCCGCAUGGACCUGCAGUAGAGGAAACUGGCAGUUAACUUCUCGAGAACACCGGGCCAACGGUCGACAUACGAGUUUGAAGAAAAGCUACUAAUAAUUUCUUGCUGGGUAAUAAAUAUGAUGUCCGUCUAAAUUUUUUAAAUGGACGCUUCGCCUCCAGAGUCGUAAAUGUAUUAAUUUCCUCAAGAGUCAUGGACAAGCCCCCCAAAGACGUUCGUUGCACAACCCAGUCCUCUCUCUCUCUCUCUCUCUCUCUCUCUCUGGCAAUUUAUGUUUUUCUCUACCCUCACAAGCUGGUGUUUGGUUUCCACAACAUUUAGUUAUCAUAACUAUUGGCAGAUAUGAUAGCUGAUAAGGGGGAGGCUUCAGAAGGAGUGUAUAAAACAGCAAAGGUCAUAAUAGUUAACAGUCCACCAUCAAAAAGCUAUCAGCCUUUAGUACUUGCGACAAUCACCGUCGGGGAUGUGGGAGGACGAGGCGGAGGAGAGCGGAAGGCGGCACAGCAGCGUCAUGCAUCCCUCAGCAGCAGCCUCGGCACACUGUCUCGCGGCGCACACCGUGAAGCGGGUUCGAAUCAUGAACUGUCUCGAUUCCUUGGUUCAGAGAUUCCGAUUCACCCAACAGUAUUAUUAACGGUAACCUACUAAAAUAAAUCCUUCAGAUUAAAAUUUGCACUUAAGUACACGAGUAUGCGCUGGCUUCAAAAUACCUUGGAAGGGUUGAGGAGUCGCGAUGGUUUAAAACAUAGGAUCUACUUACUGUGGCGGUGUUCGGUGUAUAUUGCAGUCAAGGGAGCAACUCGAGAGCAAAAAAAUGUAAAAAAUAUGCCCACUAAGCCCUGGUCC